UACGGAGGGUGCAAGCGUUAUCCGGAUUCACUGGGUUUAAAGGGUGCGUAGGAGGGCAGGUAAGUCAGUGGUGAAAUCUCCAAGCUUAACUUGGAACUGCCGUUGAUACUAUCUGUCUUGAAUACCGUGGAGGUGAGCGGAAUAUGUCAUGUAGCGGUGAAAUGCUUAGAUAUGACAUAGAACACCAAUUGCGAAGGCAGCUCGCUACACGAAUAUUGACUCUGAGGCACGAAAGCGUGGGAUCAAACAGGAUUAGAUACCCCG
rnacentral:rRNA from 1 species